rnacentral:hammerhead_ribozyme from 1 species
AUUCAGCUGAGUCCCAAACAGGACGAAGUGACGCGCGUCUGGGAU